rnacentral:rRNA from 1 species
UACGUAGGGUGCGAGCGUUAAUCGGAAUUACUGGGCGUAAAGCGUGCGCAGGCGGUUUUGUAAGCCAGGUGUGAAAUCCCCGGGCUCAACCUGGGAAUGGCAUUUGGGACUGCAAGGCUGGAGUGCGGCAGAGGAGACUGGAAUUCACGGUGUAGCAGUGAAAUGCGUAGAUAUCGUGAGGAAGACCAGUGGCGAAGGCGGGUCUCUGGACAGUUCCUGACACUGAGGCACGAAGGCCAGGGGAGCAAACGGG